rnacentral:lncRNA from 1 species
CCUUGUUUCGUACUUUGACUUUUUUCAUUACUUCUGCUUGUUUUGUUUUCCCUUUCAUCCUUGCUCGUGUUUCCCUUGCCUGACAGCCCGUCCUCCGAUGGGCUGAUGUUUCUCUUUUUUUUUUAAGGUCGUGCUUUUGUUUUUUCUACCCGACGCGAUAAGUGGACUAUCUUCGGACGACAUAGUUGCCCUAAGGCACUUUUAGCAGGUGGUCUUGUUCCCUGGUCCUCCGACGAUAUUUCCUUACGGCAUUUUGGCGGGUGACCUCAUUUGGUCUUUUGACCUUGUUGUCCUGAGGCUUUUUUAUUUUAUUUUGGCGGGUGGCCUCAUUUGGUCUUUUGACCUCAUCGCCCUAAGGCUUUUUUCAUUUUG